rnacentral:rRNA from 1 species
UACGGGGGGGGGCAAGCGUUGUUCGGAAUUACUGGGCGUAAAGGGCGCGUAGGCGGUGCUCUAAGUUAGAUGUGAAAAACUCUGGGCUCAACCCAGAGCCUGCAUCUAAAAACUGGAGUGCUAGAGUUUCUGGGAGGGGGUAGCGGAAUUCCUGGUGUAGCGGUGAAAUGCGUAGAUAUCAGGAGGAACACCGGUGGCGAAGGCGGCUACCUGGACAGAAACUGACGCUGAGGCGCGAAAGCUAGGGGAGCAAACAGG